AACCCUAUCGUGCAUGAUGUACACAUUUGUGGACACAUACUUUAAGCUCAUUUUCCAAAGGGUUUUAAAGGCAAUAUUCUCCAAACCACAUGGGGGCAGUCUCUAUAGACCCUAAUCAAUACAAUGA